AGUGAACGCUGGCGGUAGGCCUAACACAUGCAAGUCGAACGGCAGCACAGUAAGAGCUUGCUCUUACGGUUGGCGAGUGGCGGACGGGUGAGGAAUACAUCGGAAUCUACUUUUUCGUGGAGGAUAACGUAGGGAAACUUACGCUAAUACCGCAUACGACCUACGGGUGAAAUCAGGGGAUCUUCGGACCUUGCGCGAUUGAAUGAGCCGAUGCCGGAUUAGCUAGUUGGCGGGGUAAAGGCCCACCAAGGCGACGAUCCGUAGCUGGUCUGAGAGGAUGAUCAGCCACACUGGAACUGAGACACGGUCCAGACUCCUACGGGAGGCAGCAGUGGGGAAUAUUGGACAAUGGGCGCAAGCCUGAUCCAGCCAUACCGCGUGAGUGAAGAAGGCCUUCGGGUUGUAAAGCCCUUUUGUUGGGAAAGAAAAGCAGCAGGUUAAUACCCCGCUGUUCUGACGGUACCCAAAGAAUAAGCACCGGCUAACUUCGUG
rnacentral:rRNA from 1 species